rnacentral:rRNA from 1 species
GACGAACGCUGGCGGCGUGCUUAACACAUGCAAGUCGAACGGAGAGGCCCUGCUUUUGCGGGGUGCUCGAGUGGCGAACGGGUGAGUAACACGCGAGUAACCUGCCCUUGACUUUGGGAUAACUUUAGGAAACUGGGGCUAAUACAGGAUAGGAGCUCCUGAUGCACGGUGGGGGUUGGAAAGUUUCGGCGGUUGGGGAUGGACUCGCGGCUUAUCAGCUUGAUGGGGGGGUAGUGGCUUACCAAGGCUUCGACGGGUAGCCGGCCUUAGAGGGUGACCGGCCACCUUGGGACUGAGAGACGCACCAGACUCCUACGGGCGGCAGCGGUGGGGAAUAUUGCACAAUGGGCGGAAGCCUGAUGCGGCAGCGCCGCGUGCGUGAUGACGUCCUUCUGGUGGUAAACCGCUUUCUCCUGUGACGAAGCGUGAGUGACGGUAAUGGGUAAAGAAGCACCGGCUAACUACGUG